rnacentral:sRNA from 12 species
UUCCCAAAGGGUAAGUAUUACCCUUUGGGAACCAUGUAGCAGGCAGCA